rnacentral:miRNA from 1 species
UUGUUGUCAGGAGUCACUGCU